rnacentral:rRNA from 1 species
AUUAAACGCUGGCGGCAUGCCUUACACAUGCAAGUCGAACGGCAGCACGGGGGCAACCCUGGUGGCGAGUGGCGAACGGGUGAGUAAAGCAUCGGAACGUGCCCUGGAGUGGGGGAUAACGUAGCGAAAGUUACGCUAAUACCGCAUAUUCUGUGAGCAGGAAAGCAGGGGAUCGCAAGACCUUGCGCUCUGGGAGCGGCCGAUGUCGGAUUAGCUAGUUGGUGGGGUAAAGGCCUACCAAGGCGACGAUCCGUAGCGGGUCUGAGAGGAUGAUCCGCCACACUGGAACUGAGACACGGUCCAGACUCCUACGGGAGGCAGCAGUGGGGAAUUUUGGACAAUGGGCGCAAGCCUGAUCCAGCCAUGCCGCGUGAGUGAAGAAGG